rnacentral:rRNA from 1 species
GACGAACGCUGGCGGCGUGCCUAACACAUGCAAGUCGAACGGAACUUACCGAAUGAAGUCUUCGGAUGGAUUUUGGUAAGUUUAGUGGCGGACGGGUGAGUAACGCGUGAGUAACCUGCCUUCAAGAGGGGAAUAACGUUCUGAAAAGAACGCUAAUACCGCAUAACAUACGGAUGUCGCAUGGCAACCGUAUCAAAGAUUUUAUCGCUUGAAGAUGGACUCGCGUCCGAUUAGCCAGUUGGCGGGGUAACGGCCUAUCAAGUCGACGAUCCAUAGCCGGACUGAGAGGUUGAACGGCCACAUUGGGACUGAGACACGGCCCAG